rnacentral:lncRNA from 1 species
UUUAUUAUAAAAUUUGUAAGGGUUCCGCGGAACCCAGUGUCUCGCCUACUUUUGCUGUUAAUCACACACUCAUCAAAAAUGAUGAAAAAAAAUCAAUAAAAUUAUUCCUCUCAAUACUAUCUUUUGAUUGUCAGAAGCUUCUGUCCAAGUUUGGUAAAAAUCCAGGCUAGUUUAAGAAUCUUAAAAAUGUUUUAAAUACUUUAACUGCAGACUGUAUGUAAUGUUAACUGGAAGAAAAACUAAGUCCAUUUAUAAGUAAAAUACGGGAAAAAUGGAAUUUUAUUUUUACAAAAUUUACAUCUGGAUACUAUCUUCUGAUCAUAAACAAGCUUCUGGCCAAGUUUCUUACAAUUCCAGGAUAGUUUAAGAAAGUUAUUAAAAUUUUAAAAACUAACCACAGAGUGAACGUAAUGUUUCCUGGCAGAAAAAAC